rnacentral:lncRNA from 1 species
AGAGCAAGAGAAGAGGAGGAGCUUGAAGCUGCGGAAUUUGCCGGAUUACUCAGGUAAGGGGGGUUUAUCAUCGAUUAACGGGUAUUAUGGGAUGAUAUGUACUGGGUAGUAAUAGACCAUUGUUUUACCUCUGAUUGGAUGAUAUAUGUUGAAUUUGUGAACUUUUGAGAUGAACGAAAAUUUGGAUUAUAAUUGACGAAAUUCGUAGGAAUUAGAGGUAGAAAGGUUAGAAAUUUGUGAAAUCGAAAGUGUAUGAUUCGUGUUAGAUGAUAUGAAUGAAUUGUGUGUGAAAUUUGGACUGUAGAAGGUUGAAUUGGAUAGGUCUCGUAGCAGAGAAAGCCAUUGCAGAUCUGAGAGCUCUGGUCUCUGGUCAUACGCGUAUGGCACUAGGCAAUACGCGUAUGAGAUGUUGGUACGCGUAUGGGGGGAAGCCUUACGCGUAUGGGUGGAAAAGAUGGCAUUUU